ACGGGUGAGUAAUGUCUGGGGAUCUGCCCGAUAGAGGGGGAUAACCACUGGAAACGGUGGCUAAUACCGCAUAACGUCGCAAGACCAAAGAGGGGGACCUUCGGGCCUCUCACUAUCGGAUGAACCCAGAUGGGAUUAGCUAGUAGGCGGGGUAAUGGCCCACCUAGGCGACGAUCCCUAGCUGGUCUGAGAGGAUGACCAGCCACACUGGAACUGAGACACGGUCCAGACUCCUACGGGAGGCAGCAGUGGGGAAUAUUGCACAAUGGGCGCAAGCCUGAUGCAGCCAUGCCGCGUGUAUGAAGAAGGCCUUCGGGUUGUAAAGUACUUUCAGCGGGAGGAAGGCGGUGCGGUUAAUAACCGCACCGAUUGACGUUACCCGCAGAAGAAGCACCGGCUAACUCCGUGCCAGCAGCCGCGGUAAUACGGAGGGUGCAAGCGUUAAUCGGAAUUACUGGGCGUAAAGCGCACGCAGGCGGUCUGUUAAGUCAGAUGUGAAAUCCCCGGGCUUAACCUGGGAACUGCAUUUGAAACUGGCAGGCUUGAGUCUUGUAGAGGGGGGUAGAAUUCCAGGUGUAGCG
rnacentral:rRNA from 1 species